UUGCCCGGGACCUCGGUGCCGGGACGCUGCGCAGCUGGCGACCGUCGCCACUGUCGUGCAGCCGGAACCUCUAGGAAAGUUGCAGGGCCCUCGCGGGGCCUGCGGACCGGCCCCUCCGCGACGGACCUGAACUUGACCCGACUUCGCGGCCGCAGGUGAUGCAAAUGGCACCUCGCUCAAGGAAACCAUGGGCGUGUCUCCUGCCGCCCGGCGCCGGAGGCCCGGGGUCACCGUUUCCCUGGCGGAGCUCGAGGAGCAAAUGUCCCGGGCGAUGGCGGUGUGGUGCGAAUUUGAAACGUAGUUGCAAGUAACGCUCCCAACACCGGAGGCUUGAAAUCCCAGAGCAGGGAAGCCUUUGAUACGCCCAGAGCCCGAGGUCGGCCCCACGCCCUGUUGUGACACAAGCAGAAGCACUGCGCCUGCAACACGCUCCUGCUCAGGCCAGGCGUGCUGCACCCAGAGGGAACAGUCAGGCACCCAGGACGCAGGACCCAGGACGGAGAGCGUAUUCCUGUCUUGAUCUGCUGCCCGUUUCUUGUUUGUGUAGAGGAGGUGAGGCAGGGACGACCACUGAGCAGCGAAACGCUUACCUUCCUGCAGUUGUAGAAAUCCCGGUGGGGGUUGUUCUUCAGCUCCUUUAACUCAUCCAUCUCGUUGAGCAUCUCAUGGACCUGGAACUUGGAGGAGAGGAACUUCAGGCGCCGACAUAGAGCCAAGAGGAAGGCAGCAGAAUGAUCUCUCCCCCGUGGAGCGAGGGGUGGAAGGUUGGGGGAGUGCUAUGAAGAGGAGGUUCCAGCAAAGCCUAGGUAGCAAAUAAGGAAAAUGGCAACCAGCUAUUUGGAGCGACAGUAGAAGACGAACAUUCUUCACACGAUGACAAAGCAAAGUGCAUGCAAAGAGGAAGAUCCCCCACUCCCGCCCCAUCAGCGUCUCUACAGGUCUCCAAAAUGCCCCAUUUCAAUUCUAUCUUAAGUAAGUGUAACGUGUUCAAGUCUCUCUUCUGCACGUACCAACUCCUUCACCUUCCUCUGUUUCCGUUUCCUUCUCUGUACCGUGGGGAUACUAAUGCCUACCAAACCUCGCUCACCAGGCUAUCGUGACACAAGGUGAGAUAAUGUACGUGGAAAUGCUUUAAGGGAAAUAAAACACCAGAAUAGCUGAUUGGUGUCAUUUGUAGCCUUGGUCAGACAGAUAUUUGGCAUUCUGAGUUAGCUUUGGGCUAUUAAAGGAAUGAUAAGUGACAUGACUUAGUACAGGCUGAAGCACACAUUAGAAAUGACAGUCAUUGAUUCAUAACUUCAACACCACGAACAGUCAGCCACUGUUCAAAACCUGGCCUGUCACAGCUGAGUAACAGAGAAGCCCUCUAUGUUGGCUGAACUUCACACAUCCAUUUGCUCCAUUAAACUCAAGCACUUUCUGAAACUGCAAAGCAUCUUAAAGUGCUCUGAGUAGUUCUUUGGCAAGCACCACAAUCCACGAAGGAACAAACAAAACAUUAAAUAGGUACAUUUGAUGGUUUGAGAAUGCCUCCCCCACCCCACUGCCCACUGAAGGCGUAUCAUUUCUCCCUGAGCAUCACCAACAAGCACAUGCACCUCAAGAAUGAAUGGCAAGCAGAUGUUAGAAGCUCCAUGCAUCACGAAGGGCCAAUGGUAGCAGGCCAGUGGGUUAUGAUGAUGAAGAAGAGGAUGAGGAUGAGGGUGCUGGGUCUGUGGCGAUGCUGUUGGAGGCCUCAGCAAGGACGGGAUGAAAUGGAUGCCCAGGAGCCAAGUCCUAGGUGCUUGAGAUCUGGCUCUUCCAGAUAAGCAUUCAUUCUCUGGGACUGCACACAUCUAUCUGUUUCAUAUUUUAAAAUAUGAUUGUUUUUACUAAGAUUGUAUCUUCCUAAGCCACUAGAGACAGUUGAAAAGCAGAAAUUCUACUCUCAAGAAGUAGUUUAUGCAUAACCCCUGGACACAGACAAUAUGCGUCAACGGGGGAAAAGAAGGAGGCAUCUGUAAUACUUUUCAACAAUAAAGAUGAAAUUUUUAAAAACCAACAGCAAAACUUUAGUAUCUAAGUGAAAUAUGCAUGGUUAAGUUAUUUCAUAAAAUCAAUAAAAUUGAAUCAACUAAAAAAAAGUCUUUUACAAAAAUCAUAUGGUUGAUAUUUCCUUCCACUGAAUCAACCAGUUGUUUUGAUUUCAUGUAACCACAGCUGAAAUUUGACUCGUAAUUCAAGAGCUCUGCCUUUCAAAAAUACUUCAGGGAGUGGUGGUUGCUGAAAGGAAAGCGUGAGGCUGGUGUUUGAGAAGAGGAGCAGAUAAGAUUUGGUGACAACCUGGAUUCAUGGCCUGAAGGACAGAUAUGCCCAUGGAUUUGUGCAGAUCAUCGCUGGGCUCUUUUCUGAGCAUGUCGUGUGGGAGGGGAUGGAGCAUCUGAGUCGAACUGCCUUGAGGUUAGGACAUCUAUGUUCAGAGAGAGAACAGACAAGAGAACAGAAACAAGGAGUAGAGGGCGAAGCGGAAAGAACAGUGGCCUAAGGAGUGAGAAAAAGUGUCCGUGACCAUGGGUGGCCUGGGGCAAACCACACAAUCGGUGGUGUCUCAGUGUUCAUCAUCAUAAAAGGCAAGCAUUAAUAAUAAUAAUGUCAACUUCAGAGAAUUGUCAUAAAGAUUA